GCCGUUCAAAUCUCUGACUUCGGGAACCAGGACAUCCAAGCGAUCCAACCUCCUGCUAGCCUGGAGGCAAUCGUAACAAUUGGUUACCUGAUGAACCAACUUAAGGGCAAAGCCUUAGCUUGGGCCAAUCCUUUCUGGGAGAGUAGUAGGAGUAUUGCACAUAAUUACUAGGAAUUCCUUGCUCUGCUCAGGAAUUUCAUCUGAUUAAUAUUUGGUGCGUACAGGCU